GAUGAACGCUGGCGGCGUGCCUAAUACAUGCAAGUCGAGCGAACGGACGAGAAGCUUGCUUCUCUGAUGUUAGCGGCGGACGGGUGAGUAACACGUGGAUAACCUACCUAUAAGACUGGGAUAACUUCGGGAAACCGGAGCUAAUACCGGAUAAUAUUUUGAACCGCAUGGUUCAAAAGUGAAAGACGGUCUUGCUGUCACUUAUAGAUGGAUCCGCGCUGCAUUAGCUAGUUGGUAAGGUAACGGCUUACCAAGGCAACGAUGCAUAGCCGACCUGAGAGGGUGAUCGGCCACACUGGAACUGAGACACGGUCCAGACUCCUACGGGAGGCAGCAGUAGGGAAUCUUCCGCAAUGGGCGAAAGCCUGACGGAGCAACGCCGCGUGAGUGAUGAAGGUCUUCGGAUCGUAAAACUCUGUUAUUAGGGAAGAACAUAUGUGUAAGUAACUGUGCACAUCUUGACGGUACCUAAUCAGAAAGCCACGGCUAACUACGUGCCAGCAGCCGCGGUAAUACGUAGGUGGCAAGCGUUAUCCGGAAUUAUUGGGCGUAAAGCGCGCGUAGGCGGUUUUUUAAGUCUGAUGUGAAAGCCCACGGCUCAACCGUGGAGGGUCAUUGGAAACUGGAAAACUUGAGUGCAGAAGAGGAAAGUGGAGUUCCAUGUGUAGCGGUGAAAUGCGCAGAGAUAUGGAGGAACACCAGUGGCGAAGGCGACUUUCUGGUCUGUAACUGACGCUGAUGUGCGAAAGCGUGGGGAUCAAACAGGAUUAGAUACCCUGGUAGUCCACGCCGUAAACGAUGAGUGCUAAGUGUUAGGGGGUUUCCGCCCCUUAGUGCUGCAGUUAACGCAUUAAGCACUCCGCCUGGGGAGUACGACCGCAAGGUUGAAACUCAAAGGAAUUGACGGGGACCCGCACAAGCGGUGGAGCAUGUGGUUUAAUUCGAAGCAACGCGAAGAACCUUACCAAAUCUUGACAUCCUUUGACAACUCUAGAGAUAGAGCCUUCCCCUUCGGGGGACAAAGUGACAGGUGGUGCAUGGUUGUCGUCAGCUCGUGUCGUGAGAUGUUGGGUUAAGUCCCGCAACGAGCGCAACCCUUAAGCUUAGUUGCCAUCAUUAAGUUGGGCACUCUAAGUUGACUGCCGGUGACAAACCGGAGGAAGGUGGGGAUGACGUCAAAUCAUCAUGCCCCUUAUGAUUUGGGCUACACACGUGCUACAAUGGACAAUACAAAGGGCAGCGAAACCGCGAGGUCAAGCAAAUCCCAUAAAGUUGUUCUCAGUUCGGAUUGUAGUCUGCAACUCGACUACAUGAAGCUGGAAUCGCUAGUAAUCGUAGAUCAGCAUGCUACGGUGAAUACGUUCCCGGGUCU
rnacentral:rRNA from 1 species